AGGAAGUACAAGUCGUAACAAGGUAUCCGUAGGUGAACCUGCGGAUGGAUCAUUACCAAAGAACUCUCUUCGAGUCCUGUGAACCGUUUUCGUGGUCAGUGUUUUUUUUUCACUCAAUUUUUGGGUGAGGGACGCGCUGGCUGCUCCAAACACAAAUGUAUUAUACCACCAAACAGAGUCACUUUAGCUUAAAACUAAAGACAACUUUUAGCAACGGAUCUCUUGGCUCUC
rnacentral:misc_RNA from 1 species